rnacentral:rRNA from 1 species
UUAGCGGCGGACGGGUGAGUAACACGGUGGGUAAUCUGCCUUAUACGAGGGGAUAACAGUUAAGAAAUGACUGCUAAUACCGCAUAAGCGCACGGGGACGCAUGUUUCUGUGUGAAAAACUCCGGUAGUAUAAGAUGAGCCCGCGUCUGAUUAGCUGGUUGGUGGGGUAACGGCCUACCAAGGCGACGAUCAGUAGCCGGCCUGAGAGGGUGAACGGCCACAUUGGGACUGAGACACGGCCCAAACUCCUACGGAAGGCAGCAG